GGAGGCAGCAAUGAGGAAUAUUGGGCAAAGGAGGCAACUAUGAACCAGGUAUGCCGCGUGCAGGAAGAAGGUUCUAUGGACAGUAAAAUGCUUUUAUACAGGAAGAAACGCAUUCACGGGUUGAGUGUUCGACGGUACCGUAUGAAUAAGGAGCGGCUAACUGCGUGCCAGCAGCCGCGGUAAUACGGAGGGUUCGAGCGUUAUCAGGAAUUAUUGGGUAUAAAGGGUCCGCAGGCGGACAAAUAAGUCAGAGGUGAAAUCCCAUUGCUCAACGAUGGCAUUGCCUAUGAUACUGGUUGUCUUGAGUAUUACGGAAGUAGAUAGAAUAUGUGGUGUAGCGGUAAAAUGCAUAGAUAUCACAUAGAAUACCGAUUGCGAAGGCAGUC
rnacentral:rRNA from 1 species